GACGAACGCUGGCGGCGUGCUUAACACAUGCAAGUCGAACGGAAAGGCCCUGCUUUUGUGGGGUGCUCGAGUGGCGAACGGGUGAGUAACACGUGAGUAACCUGCCCUUGACUUUGGGAUAACUUCAGGAAACUGGGGCUAAUACCGGAUAGGAGCUCCUGCUGCAUGGUGGGGGUUGGAAAGUUUCGGCGGUUGGGGAUGGACUCGCGGCUUAUCAGCUUGUUGGUGGGGUAGUGGCUUACCAAGGCUUUGACGGGUAGCCGGCCUGAGAGGGUGACCGGCCACAUUGGGACUGAGAUACGGCCCAGACGCCUACGGGAGGCAGCAGGGGGGAAUAUUGCACAAUGGGCGGAAGCCUGAUGCAGCAACGCCGCGUGCGGGAUGCCGGCCUUCGGGUUGUAAACCGCUUUCGCCUGUGACGAAGCGUGAGUGACGGUAAUGGGUAAAGAAGCACCGGCUAACUACGUG
rnacentral:rRNA from 1 species